UGACAGACACAUUUGUGAUCUUUUUCCAUUUAUCAUCAUCAGUUUUUUCUCUUUCAUCAAUAUUCAUAAAUACAUAUUUCUGAUUUAUUCCUCCAAAUUCAUUCAAAUUCAAGAUCCUUUACGUUACUGCCUGAGCGAUUUUUGUAAUUUUGUAUCCAUCAGUCAUCUUCUAAUUGCAUAUUUAUCUACAGAUCUUCACUUCUUUUAUUUUCAUAGAGUUUUGAUUCAAGAAUUUAUUUAUUCAUUUCAAUGACUAAAAUUGAUAUCCCGAGGAGGGUUACGAGAGGUAUACAUUUUUUGAUAAAUUGUUGGACGAAUUACCUUCUUUUGAUUUGUUUAUUACUCACAACAAGUCAAAACUUCAGGCUCUGGUUGCUGCUAUGGAGAACGAAAGAAGAACAAAAAAGGUUAAUGACCAUAUAUUCUAUUUGCUUAAAGAAAUCUAACAUGCGAAAUUAUUAGAAAAUUUGAUCUUGUAUGUAUAUAGUUAAAAAAAUGAGUACAAGAACAUGAACAAAAAAGAGAUUGAGGGUUCUCUGAUUGUCAAUUUUGUAUAUAGUAGAACAUUUCUAUACAUAAUUUGUAUUAUUAUAUAAUUACAAGUUGAACUGUUGAUCUGUGAAUACAAUUAUAUCUGAAUACAUAAGUACUCUGUCAAAUUUAAAAAGUUGAUUAGGAAAUCCAAGUAUAGUUGGGUACAUCAAUACUACAUUGUUAGCCUUUUCAAAAUUUUAUUUAGAAGAAUAUUUAUAUAGUUUCAUACACACAAAUUGUAUCUUUUUUACUCGUUUGUCUGAUGUAUCCAUAUUUAUACAAUUUGAUACCCACAAAUUA
rnacentral:lncRNA from 1 species